rnacentral:rRNA from 1 species
UACGGGGGGGGCAAGCGUUGUUCGGAAUUACUGGGCGUAAAGGGCUCGUAGGCGGCCAACUAAGUCAGACGUGAAAUCCCUCGGCUUAACCGGGGAACUGCGUCUGAUACUGGAUGGCUUGAAUCCGGGAGAGGGAUGCGGAAUUCCAGGUGUAGCGGUGAGAUGCGUAGAUAUCUGGAGGAACACCGGUGGCGAAGGCGGCAUCCUGGACCGGCAUUGACGCUGAGGAGCGAAAGCCAGGGGAGCAAACGGG